rnacentral:rRNA from 1 species
CCUACGGGAGGCAGCAGUGGGGAAUAUUGCACAAUGGGGGAAACCCUGAUGCAGCGACGCCGCGUGAGUGAAGAAGUAAUUCGUUACGUAAAGCUCUAUCAGCAGGGAAGAAACACUGACCUUACGGUCAGCAGACGGUACCUGAGUAAGAAGCACCGGCUAACUACGUGCCAGCAGCCGCGGUAAUACGUAGGUGGCAAGCGUUAUCCGGAUUUACUGGGUGUAAAGGGAGCGUAGACGGUGUGCCAAGUCUGGAGUGAAAUGCCGCAGCUUAACUGCGGAACUGCUUUGGAAACUGGCGAACUAGAGUGCGGGAGAGGUAAGCGGAAUUCCUAGUGUAGCGGUGAAAUGCGUAGAUAUUAGGAGGAACACCAGUGGCGAAGGUGGCUUACUGGACCGUAACUGACGUUGAGGCUCGAAAGCGUGGGGAGCAAACAGGAUUAGAUACCCGAGUAGUC